rnacentral:lncRNA from 1 species
AAGUGUCAGACCUCGGGAGAUAAAUCCGUUGACGAAGUGGAGGCGGCGGCGCGCAGGCUAGGGUUUUUUUCUAAAGUAGUUUAGGCUUUUGGGCCAUUGGGCCAUUAGGUUUUUUUAUUUUUGGGCCAUUUGGGCUUGAUGUUUUCUGUAAAUGGACUGUUGUAUUUUGGACUUUGUAAUUGGGUUUGUAAAUUUUCAUUUUUAUUAUUUUUGGUUUAUGUUUUGCCCCAGGCUAAAUUGGGCAUCUACAGUU